CUCCAAACUCUAAAAACGAAUUUCUUCACUCAAAGAACUUGAUUUCUUCUUUCUAACAAGUCCGGAUGCGAUUCAUUCCGCUAAGAAUAUGAUUUUACAUCCUACUCGCAAGAUCUACGCGAUUUCUACGUUGUGUUCUUCGUUGGAGGCUUGUGGAUUAAAUUAAAUUCGGUCCAGCCCCUUGAACCUUGGGUUAAUACAUUAUUUAUCUUAUUGUUCAUCAUCCUUAGACACGUCGACUGCUCGUGCUUCGGAGUCGAAAAAGGUUUAGUUGCUUGCCAGAUUUUUCACGUGGAUUUGCAAGCAGUUUAUGAUUUGAAAGCUGGUCCACUCCGAUUCUUUUGAUUCCUCGGAGGUUUUUAUGUUAUUUAAACUAGUUUCUGUUUUCAAACUCUUAGACCGCAGUAGAACUAGUUAUUUAUUUCAUUUGAUACUACACUUUGGGAUUGUCGAUAUAUUCGAUUAUUAUAUUUGGCAUGAUUA